UUCAACCUAGAAAAAGCAUUUCUAGUCAGAGGGGAAGGAGACUGGCACUCAGGGUCACUCACUGUGUGCUUCUCACUAGCUCUGGGAGACCCUGUUUUGAAGGGCUGAGAUGCUCAAAAAGGACCCAAGGGGCUUGCAGAGACACAGGGCAGGGAGGGCAGGCACAUGCAGAGACAGCUGACUUCUGAGUGCAGGCGCUUCUGCUACAAAACGCCUUUAACUGCCCAACAUACGUAACUGUGACUCUUAGAAAGCAGCUGUCUGCCAGGAGUAUUUAGUAACACAACACGACGGCAGUGACACAGAACGGCAGUCUGCUCAUUCCCCCUCACGGGGACCAGCCUGAGCGCGCCCUCAGCACCGGGCUGUCCUCCUUGCCUGUGUGUCACCGUGUUGUUCUCUCACUGUCGUCUUGUGGCGAGCAGAGCCGGGCUGUUUCUCAUAUUGUCCAUCUGCUUCCCACUCAGCACUAACAGCACACUGCGCUGACCACAUAAAAUAUUAACUCCUGCUUUCUCCCUUCCCGCUGGGAGCUAAUAAAGAUUCCUGCUACUCAGUGGUUAACUAGGCACUGCUUACGGCCAGGGCAAGCAGGCGUUCUUAGGAACAGCCUGACCACACUUUCAUAAUAAAUACCCUGGAGCGCUCCUCUGAAGGAAUUAUGAAGCUCAACUUCAUUCAAUGAUUUCCUUGGCCAAAGAGUAAAACAAGCAUCCAAUUCAGGUCUUAAAAAGGGUGUGUUUGAAUCUCUUGGUUUCUGACAACUGCAGGGGCAGUCAGCCAACACACUGGUCACGUACAAAACUAUUAGCUGCCCUUCAUUUUUCCAAGCCAGGAUGGCCCUGAAGUCACGAGGUACCAAGGCUGCCCACAGCUACGCUCCUGCCUUACACACCUGGCUAAAUUACCCGAAUUCUAAGGCCAAAUGAAACCAUUGCCAGGAGACAGAAGCACGUCCCAAGCGCCAGUAUGGUGAGCUGCAGCCUCCAAAACUUAGGUUUGAGACAGAGAGGGGAACCUGCAGAGCGCGAGGCGCUCACAGGGCGAGGCUGUGCCACGGCAGCUGCUUCACACUUGGCCAUUACAUGAGCGCUGCCUUCGGGUCCGUGUUUGUGUCAGAGCCGGGUGCUGGCGUAUCCAGCCUCUGACACUUUUGCACUUUUACUUAACUUCUUUUUAUCUUGCAGUCAUCUGCCGACAUGCCUGGCCCGCCAGGCCCCAGUCAGCAGUGUGUGGGCUUCUCUGCAGGCCAGGGAUGACAAUGUGCUUACGCUACAUAAUCCUUUUAGGAAACAAGAAGGCUUACUCAGCUCACAGGCACGAGCAGGGGCAGGAUGGUCUGUGGCAGCCAGCUCAGCCAUCACGUUUGAGCGGAAGCUCAGUCUGGCCAAGCGGCUGCUGUUUUCCCAAUGCAAAACUGGCGAGUGCGUGCGGAGCGGGGACCCAGGAGUCGAGGGAGAGGAGACAGCCGCUGAGUCACAGCAGAGGCCCUCCAGCCUCAGCGUCUCAACAGAGAGGGUCCUGCUGGCCCCAAAGUCCACAGCAAGGCCCACAGACCUGAGACUUUCCAGUCUGGUACCAAAAGUGUAAAACAAAUGGUUUUUAAAGUAUCUACCAAGGACACAACACAAAACGAAAAACAAAGUAUCUACUAGAAGAGGUUGCCUCUUCUGCACUCAAAGACCCCAAUGAUGUUAAUGUCCACCAGGCUGGGUGUGGUGGCACAGGCCAGUAAGCUCAGUACUCAGGAGGCUGAGGCAAAGAGGACUGCUGCAAGUUCAAGACCAGCCUGGGCUACAAAGCAAGGUGAAGGCCAGUCUGAACUGCACAGCGAGACCCUGUCUCAAAGACCAAAAACAAGUCAUGAAAAGCUAUAACAAAAUGAAAUGAAGACGGAAUUAGUGUUUCUAGAAAAAAGAACCUAUGAUGUUAAGAAAACAAUACACACAUAUAUACACGCAUACAACCGAAUCAUGGUACUUCCACCACCUCAAAAAACACCACCACCAACGAAAACCCCCCAAGCCCCAGCCAGCGCCUACCCUUUGAACACCUGCUGUUGUCCGCGGCCCAGCCCGGCUACCGUCGCAUCUUUAAGCAGGGUCUUCACUCCCUUAUCCACGGAGACCUGCGCGAUGCCGGCUCCCAUCAGCCCUGCGCCCAGAAUGGCCAGCUGUCUGACAGGAAAAGAGGGGUGAUUUCCGUAAAGAGCUUUUACUCGGGAGACUGCCCACGCUACCAUCCAAUGCAUCACCUGUGAGGUGCUGCAAAUCCUCUCCAGCUACACAAGCCCAGCACUAACAAUUUGGUUUUCAGUACUGGGAGUUGAACCUUGUGCAUGCGAGGCAAAUCCUCACCUUUGAGUGACAUUCCUGUCCCUUUUAUGGUCAGACAAGGCCUUGCGAAAUCGCUCAGUACGGCCUUGGACCUGGGAUCUUCCUGCUUCAGCCUCCUGAGUAGGUGGGAUUAUAGGCCUGGACCCCCAUGUCUUUAGCUGACUGAUUCUACAGUUGAAUGCAAAAAUCCACUGUGUCUAAAGGAAUUGGUCCUCCCGUGGAGACAGAAACAAAGCCAACUACAGAUAAGCUUAAGUGAACACGAGUAUUGUUUUCUAAAUAAAGGCUGACUUGUAGACCAA